rnacentral:pre_miRNA from 1 species
CAACUACUCCCUCUGUCCCAAAUUUGUUGUCUUAGAUUUGUCUAGAUACGGAUGUAUCUAAUACUAAAAUGUGACUUGAUACAUCCAUAUCUAGACAAAUCUAAGACAUGAAUUUUGGGACGGAGGGAGUACUUC